AUGCAAGAGGAUCCUUUUGAUUGUAUAUAUCGGAAUGUACCAAGUGGCCAUCAUGUUUCGCAGCCAGUGCCUAACUGCACAAAUUGCAAUGCAAAACGGUUCCAGUAUGAGAAUCCAACAUUUUGUUGCAUGGGUGGCAAGGUCAAGAUAGUAACUCCAUAUGUUCCUGAUGAAAUGCGCCGACUAUACACAAGUCAAGAUCCUGACGCUAAGUACUUUCAGGACAAUAUCCGGUACUUCAAUUCUCACUUUUCUUUUACCUCUCUUGGUGUUAUCUUGGACCAGAGAUAUUGCAAUAAAAAGUUUGGUGUUUACACUUUCCGUGCACAAGGUCAAAUUUAUCAUCGAAUUGAUCAAUUGGUUCCAGUAGAAGAUGGCCCUAAGCAUUUACAACUAUACUUUUAUGACACUGAAUCAGAUUUGCAACACAGAUUUCGUUAUUCUCCUAAUCUUGAUAGAGUUCUCAUUGGAAAAUUGGCGACCAUACUUUCAUCUAAUCCUUACGCCCAGACAUUUCGAAGCCUUGGUUCAGUGUCAAACCUUGAUGAGUAUCGAAUUGAGCUCAACACAGACAUUUCUUUAGAUCAACGAGUAUAUAAUGCACCAACUACAUCACAAGUAGCAGCAAUCUGGGUAGAAGGAAAUAAUCCUCAGGGUCACUUCGAUAGGAGUAUAAUGGUAUAUGGUAAAUCAAAUGAUCCACAGUACAUAAAAGCGUACCAUGGCUGUUAUGACCCACUUCCAUAUCCACUAUUUUUCCCAAACGGGGAAGUUGGGUGGAACUUGAAAAUACCAAAAGUGAGAUCAAAUGUCAUUGUUAAUAAGAUCAAUCAAGAAGAUGAAUAUAACGAAGAAGGUAAAUUGUGCCGCAUAAUCAACUGUCGCUUAUAUUAUAUUUAA
rnacentral:rRNA from 1 species